UCUGGCUUCGUGCGUUGCAUCUGAACUGCUGCACGGUGAGCUGCACGAGAUAGAUUUCGAGUUGCAUCAUGCGGUGUGGAUGGGAGGUCGGAGAGGGGCUGACGGUGUUGUUGGGCGGGGAGGUGCGCUGAUGCUCUGUAUUCGAGCCUAUCAUCUAAAGCACAGAGGUUCGUUAAAAAUGUGAAGCAGCAGGGGAGUUCAUGUCGUCCAGCUCAACAGUUCACUCGCCACCGCCAACAUCCUCCAUCGGAGCCUUCCUCAGGCAGAUUAAAAGAUGCUUAUGUGGGAUAUUUGGAUGGAUAAGCAACAGAAGAAGCGAGCAACAGGUAGAUUCAAUCAUAUGCAAAUUUUCUAUAAUUCUAUAUGUGAAUGAGUUCAGACUUGACAAAAGUUGGUAAAUUUGCGUUAACUCUUUUAAAUUUAUUAAUUACAUAUUUGCAUCGACACAUAAAAUAGGAUUAGAAAAUGUAACAAAUUUGAAGUUUAUUCUUUUGGUGUAAAUGAAAAAUGAUGUGUACAAAAUGCAUGAUACGAAGUUUAGUAUUUCCUUGCCCUGAAGUUCACUUUCAUUAUAAAACGUACCC